AUUAUUUGUUUGCAUAAGAGUGAACUGAAACCUUUAUAGCACCAAAAUAGAGCAAUGUCAAAGCAAGCAUUUUUAUCAUCAAUCAUUUAACAUUAAAGGAUUUAAAGAGGAACUUUCAUUUAUCUAAAACGUGCACCAUUGAAUAAAGCACUAAAAAUCACCUAUAAAUUGUGUUAAAAGGACUCUCCACCACUUAAAAAACCCCUCAAAAAACAUUAUCUAGUAG